GUCCUCAGAGGUCUUUGCCCUCGGGCCCCUCUGUCUUCAGAGGUCUUUGCCCUCGGGCCCCUCUGUCCUCAGAGGUCUCUGCCCUCGGGCCCCUCUGUCCUCAGCGGUCUCUGCCCUCGGGCCCCUCUGUCCUCAGCGGUCUCUGCCCUCGGGCCCCUCUGUCCUCAGCGGUCUCUGCCCUCGGGCCCCUCUGUCCUCAGCGGUCUCUGCCCUCGGGCCCCUCUGUCCUCAGGCUCUGUGACCUGACCCCUUUCCCCUUGCAGUGAGGCUGUGGGGGUGCCUUGUUCUCGCUCACUUGUGAUGUAUUAGGAAAGGUCUGUUUUUUUUUUAUCUAAACAGAACUGUACCUCUGCCACAUGGGACACAUUUUACAUUCACUGGUCUAUCAUUUAAUUGAUGCAAACUUACACAUUAAAAACGUUAAAAUGGGACCAGCCAAAAAAACCAGAAGAUAUCAACUGAAACUGUCAAAAAUUUUUCAAGAGGGACUCAAUUCUAUUAUUCUCCUCUUAGGAAGUUUCUAUAUCAAGUGUAUUUACCCAAAUAGUCCUACUUUAUUAAUGGGAACAUUAAUGUACUGACUGUCUUGGGAGUUUGUGAUCAUGUAUGUGGCUACUACUGUAAUUUAACCUCCAUUAUCGGUGCUGAAACAAACAUCUGGCAAACAACCCUUUCUGACCUGUUAGACUGGCUCUUUCUGUUUACAGGAUACCGCUUGUCAGCUUUCAAUAUGACUUGAUUGCAGCACUAUAGAAGAAACCGGUACGGUUAACGAUCUGGGCUUGUCCAAACCUGGCUGGGUGAGGUUGACAUUUGCGCACAUGCUUUGGUCUGAGAAUCUUGUUGUCAUCACAGAGUCAGGUGUAACUCUCAAGCUGAAUGUCUUGAAUCAAGAACCACACUCUGUCUAAGGUGGAGAAAUGGAGCAGGAUAUCUGUGUGUUGGGAACCACUAAUGGGUGAACCAUUCUCUCCGUCUGGUCCUUAAUGGUAUGAGUCAGCAGUCUGAUUCAAUAAACAUCCGCCUUGACCUACAGCUGUUUAUCUGGAAGGUGCCGUGAUACUUGAUGUAUGCAGAGCAAAUUUUCAAAACUCACUCAGUCCAUGACAUACGUUUUAGAGAAAAAUUCUGCAGACUUUCUCAAGUUUUGUAAAUUUUAAGAAAAGCUCUUGGUUGGAUUCCAUGAGGAUUCAGUUUUGGUUCCCGAUACUGUGACUAAUGAUGAGGAAGCCUUACGUUAGGUCACUGGCGGUCUCAUCUCAAAAAAACUACAAAAAAAAUCGACGAGUGAGUUUUGGAAAUUUGCUCUUCAUAUGUGGAGAUCAUGCUCAGAACAACCAGCCGGAUAAAUAAGCCAUCUAUACAGAGUGAAAAAACUGAUUUACCAAGUCCCAGGAUUCUUGAAUGAUUGAAAAACUGAAAGUGUGUUCAUGAUCCCAAAAGGCAUUACCAAAUGCUCACAGCGCCUCCUUCUGGCAAUAAAUGUCAUUUUCCAUUUGUAGCCUUGAACACUUCUUUUAGAUCUACAGGGAUGUUCGGGAGUGGGCAUCUGACUUAAUAGUCCAUUCGGGGACACAGGACUCCAUCUCUCCUCUCUGCCAAAAAAAAAAAAAAGAUGCAGCAGGUGAUGUAGACUUUCAAGUGAAUCCCUCUACCUUGACUUCAUGUUCCUGUGCCUCCAGGAUCCAGUUGGGCUUUUGCCAUAUGACAAGUCGGGAGGCAUUACAGUGAAUGCACAAUGUACAUUCGUUGAAUGAAAUGGCUGAAGCCUGGGAAGUUGCUGUACACAUCCCACUAGCUGACAACUACCUCCCAUGGGUCCUGGCUGGGUUGAGGUUCUGUCUGUGUAGACCUCCUCCCAACGUAGACCUUCUCUGGAGGCACUGUGCUGAAGGUGCUCCUCCCUGGAGGACUAAUUAGAGUAAUACAGCAGUCCUCUCUGAAUCGGGAAGUAAUGGUCCAGGAGUCAGCCAGACGUCCUUUUCUUCCCUUUGACCUUUUCCUCAACAGUGUGUGAGGUGAUUGUUCUGCGGUCACUCAUUUGCAAAGAACCCCUGUUGUAAAAAAUCUGAAUAGGGCUUACUGGCACUGGCGAGGGGGGGGGUGUCAUCCUGCCAAUUAACCUCUUUAUUGCCUAUUUGAACCAUUAUUGCCAGCUGCCGUGGGGUAAGGGGUAGUCAUCAUUUUGUGGGUGAUUCCCCUUAGCAGCACUGCAGGCAUGUCUCUCAGGAGGCCUUGCAGCCAUGUCAGUUUCACCCCUGUAGUGGGGGCACUGGUAGGUUGGGGAAGACCCAGACUGCGAUUUACACAACGGCAGAGGUCAUCUUCACAUUCCAUGUAUGCAGGCGAGGGGUAGGGAGCCCUCCAUGGGACAAGAAGCAGGGGGUUAGGCUGGUGUUAGGUAGCACAAUUUGAGCACGAUCUUAGGUCUUCAGGGCAUCAUAAUCUUCAGAUACCAGCCAGGGUAGUCAGUGGCAAACAGUCCGUGCCCCCCCCCCAAUAGGUAGGGAGCCAGGAUUCGGGCCCAGUUCAGCUUUAACGCGGUGAGGUAUCCCUCAAUGUCAUCCUCAGUAGGGAUCUUUGUCACCUCCUACUCAUGUUCUCCACCAGUUUGGUGACCAAGGAGACAGGGGACAUGGCAGAGUAGGCAACUCUCCCUACAGAGGCAAGAUUUAUUUGUGAAAUAUGGGGAAAUAUACAGAGGUUGUGGCAAUGAUGGGAGGUGUCAGUAAUUCAGGGGGAAGUGCUUCUGAAAAAUACAGGCAUAGAUCCAAUAGCAUGGGGGGGGGGGGGGGUCAGCCCUUUUGGCUUUUGAGGGCGUAGACAGGAUUGGGCAGAUAAUUGGUAUUAUUGAUAAAUGUAUUCUUUCUCUUUUCCAAGUAUGUCAUAUACAGCACUCUCCACAAUUAUUGGUACCCCCUGUAAAGAUUUGUAAAAAAGGGUUAAAAAAAUAGUAGCUUCAUCUGACACUGAAAAAAUGAUAAAAAAAAUCCCACCUUUCUUUGAAAUAAAUUUAUUCAAGAAAAAACAAA